rnacentral:rRNA from 1 species
AAAGAGUCUGUAGGUGUUUGGUUAAGUCUUCGGUUAAAGCCCACCGCUUAACGGUGGAUCAGCCGAAGAAACUGGCCGAAUAGAGGUUGGGAGAGGUGAGCGGAAUUGCCGGUGUAGUAGUAAAAUGCGUUAAUAUCGGCAAGAACACCAAAGGCGAAGGCAGCUCACUAGAACACACCUGACACUGAGAGACGAAAGCGUGGGGAGCGAAUGGGAUUAGAUACCCCAGUAGUCCACGCCGUAGACUAUGGAUGCUAGGCAUCGGCAGUAUCGACCCUGUCGGUGUCGAUCAAACAAGGUAACCCCUUAAGCAUCCCGCCUGGGGAGUACGGCCGCAAGGCUAAAACUCAAAGGAAUUGACGGGAACCCGCACAAGCGGUGGAGCAUGUGGUUUAAUUCGACGCUAAGCGAAGAACCUUACCAAGGCUUGACAUACAAGCGUUCUAUUCCCGGGAAACCGGGGAAAUCCGCAAGGAGGCUUGCACAGGUGCUGCAUGGCUGUCGUCAGCUCGUGUCGUGAGAUGUUGGGUUAAGUCCUCUAACGAGCGCAACCCUCAUGCUGUGUUAAAUAUUCACAGCAAACCGCUCCGGUUAACGGAGAGGAAGGUGGGGAUGACGUCAAGUCAGCAUGGCCCUUAUGCCUUGGGCUACACACGUGCUACAAUGGGGUGCAACAAUGGGCCGCGAAACCGCGAGGUGGAGCCAAUCCCACCAAACCACCCCUCAGUUCGGAUUGCAGGCUGCAACUCGCC